rnacentral:piRNA from 1 species
UGAGUAAUGAGAAUGCCGAAGCUGUUCUU